rnacentral:rRNA from 1 species
AGAGUUUGAUCCUGGCUCAGGAUGAACUGCUGGCGGCGUGCCUAACACAUGCAAGUCGAACGGAGCCUUAACCAAAGAAGCAGCCAGCUUGCUGGAAGCGGAAAAGGGAAAGGCUUAGUGGCGGACGGGUGAGUAACGCGUGGGUAACCUGGCCCAUACAGGGGGAUAACACUUAGAAAUAGGUGCUAAUACCGCAUAACAACAGAAAGCGCAUGCUUUUUGUUUGAAAACCAAGGUGGUAUGGGAUGGACCCGCGUCUGAUUAGCUGGUUGGCGGGGUAAAGGCCCACCAAGGCGACGAUCAGUAGCCGGCCUGAGAGGGUGGACGGCCACAUUGGGACUGAGACACGGCCCAAACUCCUGCGGGAGGCAGCAGUGGGGGAUAUUGCACAAUGGGGGAAACCCUGAUGCAGCGACGCCGCGUGGGUGAAGGAGCACUUAGGUGCGUAAAGCCCUAUCGGCAGGGAAGAAAAGGGGAAACCCCAGACGGUACCUGACUAAGAAGCCCCGGCUAACUACGUGCCAGCAGCCGCGGUAAUACGUAGGGGGCAAGCGUUAUCCGGAUUUACUGGGUGUAAAGGGAGCGCAGACGGCAGUGCAAGUCUGGAGUGAAAGCCCGGGGCCCAACCCCGGGACUGCUCUGGAAACUGUACGGCUAGAGUACGGGAGGGGCAGGCGGAAUUCCUAGUGUAGCGGUGAAAUGCGUAGAUAUUAGGAGGAACACCGGCGGCGAAGGCGGCCUGCUGGACCGAAACUGACGUUGAGGCUCGAAAGCGUGGGGAGCAAACAGGAUUAGAUACCCUGGUAGUCCACGCCGUAAACGAUGAUUACUAGGUGUCGCGGUGCAUAAGCACCGCGGUGCCGUCAGCAAAUGCAUUAAGUAAUCCACCUGGGAAGUACGUUCGCAAGAAUGAAACUCAAAGGAAUUGACGGGGACCCGCACAAGCGGUGGAGCAUGUGGUUUAAUUUGAAGCAACGCGAAGAACCUUACCUGAUCUUGACAUCCCUCUGCCCGGCAAGUAAUGUUGCCUUUCUUUCGGGACAGAGGAGACAUGUGGCGCAUGGUCGUCGUCAGCUCGUGUCGUGAGAUGUUGGGUUAAGUCCCGCAACGAGCGCAACCCUUAUCUUCAGUAGCCAGCAUCUAGGAUGGGCACUCUGGAGAGCCUCCCAGGGAUAACCUGGAGGAAGGUGGGGAUGACCUCAAAUCAUCAUGCCCCUUACGACCAGGGUUACACACGUGCUACAAUGGCGUAAACAAAGGGAAGCGAUCACGUGAGUGCAAGCGAAUCCCACAAAUAAC